UACGUAGGGCGCAAGCGUUGUCCGGAAUUAUUGGGCGUAAAGAGCUCGUAGGCGGCUAUUCACGUCGGAUGUGAAAGCUCAAGGCUCAACCUUGAGAGGCCAUUCGAUACGGGAUAGCUAGAGGGUAGGUAGGGGAGAGUCGGAAUUCCUGGUGUAGCGGUGAAAUGCGCAGAUAUCAGGAGGAACACCGAUGGCGAAGGCAGAUCUCUGGGCCUUACCUGACGCUGAGGAGCGAAAGCUGGGGGAGCGAACAGG
rnacentral:rRNA from 1 species